AUUCCAGCUCCAAUAGCGUAUAUUAAAGUUGUUGCAGUUAAAAAGCUCGUAGUUGGGUUUCAGUCUUAAUUCGACUGGCCCGCUCCCUUGAGGAGCCGAGUGCCGGUUGCGAAUUGGACUUCCUUCUAGCAUGAAUCUCCUACCGUUAUGCGGCCGGGAAGGACAUCUGGAUCAUUUACUUUGAAGAAAUUAGAGUGUUCAAAGCAAGCUUACGCUGUGAAUAUAUUAGCAUGGAAUAAUAACAUAGGACUCGGGUUCUAUUUUGUUGGUUUCUAGGACUCAAGUAAUGAUUGAUAGGGACAGUUGGGGGUGCUGCUAUUAUAUGGCCAGAGGUGAAAUUCACGGAUUCAUAUAAGAGCAACUUAUGCGAAAGCAUUCACCAAGGAUGUCUUCAUUA
rnacentral:rRNA from 1 species